GACGAACGCUGGCGGCGUGCUUAACACAUACAAGUCGAACGGUAAGGCCCUUCGGGGUACACGAGUGGCGAACGGGUGAGUAACACGUGGGUGAUCUGUCCUGCACUUCGGGAUAAGCCUGGGAAACUGGGUCUAAUACCGGAUAGGACCACUGCCUGCAUGGGUGGUGGUGGAAAGCUUUUGCGGUGUGGGAUGGGCCCGCGGCCUAUCAGCUUGUUGGUGGGGUGAUGGCCUACCAAGGCGACGACGGGUAGCCGGCCUGAGAGGGUGACCGGCCACACUGGGACUGAGAUACGGCCCAGACUCCUACGGGAGGCAGCAGUGGGGAAUAUUGCACAAUGGGCGCAAGCCUGAUGCAGCGACGCCGCGUGAGGGAUGACGGCCUUCGGGUUGUAAACCUCUUUCAGCACCGACGAAGCGCAAGUGACGGUAGGUGCAGAAGAAGGACCGGCCAACUACGUGCCAGCCGCCGCGGUAA
rnacentral:rRNA from 1 species